rfam:Rhizophagus irregularis DAOM 181602 strain DAOM 197198 GLOINscaffold_606_Cont610 mitochondrial, whole genome shotgun sequence.
GUCGGGUUAGCUUAAUGGUAAAGCUUUCGUCUUGUAAACGAGGUAUGGUGGUUCGAUUCCGCUACCCGGCU